UACGUAGGGGGCAAGCGUUGUCCGGAAUCAUUGGGCGUAAAGAGCGCGUAGGCGGUCCGGUAAGUCCGCUCUGAAAGUCCGGGGCUCAACCCCGGGAGGCGGGCGGAUACUGCCGGGCUAGAGUCCGGAAGAGGCGAGUGGAAUUCCUGGUGUAGCGGUGAAAUGCGUAGAUAUCAGGAGGAAUACCUAUGGCGAAAGCAGGUAUCUGGGCCACAACUGACGCUGAGCUGCGAAAGCGUGGGGAGCGAACAGG
rnacentral:rRNA from 1 species